UAUAUGUUGUAUAUUUUACCUAAGACAGUAGGAGUUCAUUGAGAACUUAAUACAAGAUCCUACCGAGGCUAAAAUUGACUUGAACGUGAAAACAUUCAAGCACUUUUUGCUGUGGGUAAAAAGUGCUUUUUUAUUUGUUAU
rfam:Staphylococcus hyicus strain ATCC 11249, complete genome.